rnacentral:rRNA from 1 species
UGGGGAAUUUUGGACAAUGGGCGAAAGCCUGAUCCAGCAAUGCCGCGUGUGUGAAGAAGGCCUUCGGGUUGUAAAGCACUUUUGUCCGGAAAGAAAUCCUUGGCUCUAAUACAGUCGGGGGAUGACGGUACCGGAAGAAUAAGCACCGGCUAACUACGUGCCAGCAGCCGCGGUAAUACGUAGGGUGCAAGCGUUAAUCGGAAUUACUGGGCGUAAAGCGUGCGCAGGCGGUUUGCUAAGACCGAUGUGAAAUCCCCGGGCUCAACCUGGGCAACUGCAUUGGUGACUGGCAGGCUAGAGUAUGGCAGAGGGGGUAGAAUUCCACGUGUAGCAGUGAAAUGCGUAGAGAUGUGGAGGAAUACCGAUGGCGAAGGCAGCCCCCUGGGCAAUACUGACGCUCAUGCACGAAAAGCGUGGGGGAGCAAACAGGAUUAGAUACCCCUGGUAGUCCACGCCCUAAAACGAUGUCAACUAGUUGUUGGGGAUUCAUUUCCUUAGUAACGUAGCUAACGCGUGAAGUUGACCGCCUGGGGAGUACGGUCGCAAGAUUAAAACUUAAAUGAAUUGACGGGGUCAU